AGUAAUACAUAAGUAACCUGCCCUAGACAGGGGGAUAACUAUUGGAAACGAUAGCUAAGACCGCAUAGGUACGGACACUGCAUGGUGACCGUAUUAAAAGUGUCUCAAAGCACUGGUAGAGGAUGGACUUAUGGCGCAUUAGCUGGUUGGCGGGGUAACGGCCCACCAAGGCGACGAUGCGUAGCCGACCUGAGAGGGUGACCGGCCACACUGGGACUGAGACACGGCCCAG
rnacentral:rRNA from 1 species